GGCUUCGUAGCUCAUAUGACAGAGCGCUUGCUGCGUUUAGGCUGGUUGCUUCUGGUGCUGGUUCGAAUCCAGUCGAAGCUC